UAUGGCUAAUACAUGCGCAAAUGCCUCCUUCUCUGGAGGGGCUGUGUUUAUUAGAUACAAAACCAACCCACUUUUGUGGAGUCCUGGUGAUUCAUAGUAACCAAACGGAUCGCAUUUGGCUUCGGCCCGCGAUGGAUCUUUCAAGUUUCUGACCUAUCAGCUUUCGACGGUAGGGUAUUGGCCUACCGUGGCAGUGACGGGUAACGGGGAAUUAGGGUUCGAUUCCGGAGAGGGAGCCUGAGAAACGGCUACCACAUCUAAGGAAGGCAGCAGGCGCGCAAAUUACCCAAUGAAAACAGUUUCGAGGUAGUGACGAGAAAUAACAAUACAGGGCAUUUUAUGCUCUGUAAUUGGAAUGAUGGGAAUGUAAAACCCUUCCAGAGUAACAAUUGGAGGGCAAGUCUGGUGCCAGCAGCCGCGGUAAUUCCAGCUCCAAUAGUGUAUAUUAGAGUUGUUGCAGUUAAAAAGCUCGUAGUUGGAUUUCUGCUGUGGUCAUCCGGUACCGCCCGUAUGGGUGCGCACCU
rnacentral:rRNA from 1 species